UGGGGAAUAUUGGACAAUGGGCGAAAGCCUGAUCCAGCCAUGCCGCGUGUGUGAAGAAGGCCUUUUGGUUGUAAAGCACUUUAAGCGAGGAGGAGGCUACUUGGAUUAAUACUCUAGGAUAGUGGACGUUACUCGCAGAAUAAGCACCGGCUAACUCUGUGCCAGCAGCCGCGGUAAUACAGAGGGUGCGAGCGUUAAUCGGAUUUACUGGGCGUAAAGCGUGCGUAGGCGGCUUUUUAAGUCGGAUGUGAAAUCCCUGAGCUUAACUUAGGAAUUGCAUUCGAUACUGGGAGGCUAGAGUAUGGGAGAGGAUGGUAGAAUUCCAGGUGUAGCGGUGAAAUGCGUAGAGAUCUGGAGGAAUACCGAUGGCGAAGGCAGCCAUCUGGCCUAAUACUGACGCUGAGGUACGAAAGCAUGGGGAGCAAACAGG
rnacentral:rRNA from 1 species